AUUGAACGCUGGCGGCAUGCCUUACACAUGCAAGUCGAACGGCAGCACGGACUUCGGUCUGGUGGCGAGUGGCGAACGGGUGAGUAAUAUAUCGGAACGUGCCCUGGAGUGGGGGAUAACUAGUCGAAAGACUAGCUAAUACCGCAUACGAUCUAUGGAUGAAAGUGGGGGAUCGCAAGACCUCAUGCUCGUGGAGCGGCCGAUAUCUGAUUAGCUAGUUGGUAGGGUAAAAGCCUACCAAGGCAUCGAUCAGUAGCUGGUCUGAGAGGACGACCAGCCACACUGGGACUGAGACACGGCCCAGACUCCUACGGGAGGCAGCAGUGGGGAAUUUUGGACAAUGGGGGCAACCCUGAUCCAGCAAUGCCGCGUGAGUGAAGAAGGCCUUCGGGUUGUAAAGCUCUUUUGUCAGGGAAGAAACGGUCCGGGCUAAUAUCCUGGGCUAAUGACGGUACCUGAAGAAUAAGCACCGGCUAACUACGUGCCAGCCGCCGCAGUAAAAC
rnacentral:rRNA from 1 species